rnacentral:lncRNA from 1 species
GGGACUAAAAAAGAGGCUUUGACCACACCCCAAGGUGCCACCAGUUUUUCAGUAACGCGCUUAACGAAAGGGAUGAUUAGGGUCAGAACGUUCGCAUUAUGAACACGUGAGUUAGGAGGAGAAACUACGAUGAUUCCUGUGGGUCCACCCCACUUCAACUCCUCAACACAGAAAGCCAGAUCCAUUAGUUCUUGUAGGCCACCAGAGACAACGAUUCACGGGGCGUCAUGGCGACCUGCAGGAUCUCUGCAGCAGCAACAAAGCUCUCCACGUCAUCAAUGAUGUCAUCCUGGUUUCUCUGUAUAGCCCUGGCUGUCCUGGAACUCCUCUGUAGACCAGGCUGGCCUCCAACAGAAAUCCGCCUGCCUCUGCCUCCCGAGUGCUGGGAUUAAAGGCGUGCGCCACCACGCCCGGCCAGGCUCACUUUUUAAGAACCUGAUUUAGACACUGCAGCCUUAGUUUUAAAUAUCUGCUCGACACAUCUCCCUGGAAACCAGGACUUGAAGGUGUAACGACCAGAUCACCGUCUUCUCAUUCAUCGUAAAGCAGAGAGCUCCAGGACUGACCACGUAGACAUCCACUCUAAGGCGGCUGGAGAGUAACCGAGGGACACAGUGCUUGCACAGGACGCCCUAAGUCUCGGGUUCCAUUUCAAGUACAAGUCAGCUGUAAUGUGUAUCAUACUGGUAAACUGUCCUGUGCUGAUUGAACUCA